UACAGAGGGUGCAAGCGUUAAUCGGAAUUACUGGGCGUAAAGCGUGCGUAGACGGUUAUGUAAGUCGGGUGUGAAAGCCCGGCUCAACCUGGGAAUGCCAUUCGAGACUGCAUAGCUAGGGUGCGGAAGAGGGAAGCGGAAUUUCAGGUGUAGCGGUGAAAUGACGUAGAUAUCUGAAGGAACACCAGUGGCGAAAGCGGCUUCCUGGUCCAGCACCGACGUUCAGGCACGAAAGCGUGGGGAGCAAACAGGA
rnacentral:rRNA from 1 species